ACUAGUUGAGGAGUCCCGAAUUGGACGAAACGCGUGUCCUAGAU
rnacentral:hammerhead_ribozyme from 1 species